rnacentral:rRNA from 1 species
GCUUGCUCCCUGAUGUUAGCGGCGGACGGGUGAGUAACACGUGGGUAACCUGCCUGUAAGACUGGGAUAACUCCGGGAAACCGGGGCUAAUACCGGAUGGUUGUCUGAACCGCAUGGUUCAGACAUAAAAGGUGGCUUCGGCUACCACUUACAGAUGGACCCGCGGCGCAUUAGCUAGUUGGUGAGGUAACGGCUCACCAAGGCGACGAUGCGUAGCCGACCUGAGAGGGUGAUCGGCCACACUGGGACUGAGACACGGCCCAGACUCCUACGGGAGGCAGCAGUAGGGAAUCUUCCGCAAUGGACGAAAGUCUGACGGAGCAACGCCGCGUGAGUGAUGAAGGUUUUCGGAUCGUAAAGCUCUGUUGUUAGGGAAGAACAAGUGCCGUUCAAAUAGGGCGGCACCUUGACGGUACCUAACCAGAAAGCCACGGCUAACUACGUGCCAGCAGCCGCGGUAAUACGUAGGUGGCAAGCGUUGUCCGGAAUUAUUGGGCGUAAAGGGCUCGCAGGCGGUUUCUUAAGUCUGAUGUGAAAGCCCCCGGCUCAACCGGGGAGGGUCAUUGGAAACUGGGGAACUUGAGUGCAGAAGAGGAGAGUGGAAUUCCACGUGUAGCGGUGAAAUGCGUAGAGAUGUGGAGGAACACCAGUGGCGAAGGCGACUCUCUGGUCUGUAACUGACGCUGAGGAGCGAAAGCGUGGGGAGCGAACAGGAUUAGAUACCCUGCUAGUCCACGCCGUAAACGAUGAGUGCUAAGUGUUAGGGGGUUUCCGCCCCUUAGUGCUGCAGCUAAACGCAUUAAGCACUCCGCCUGGGG